CUGCACUAUAGACCGUCCGAUCGAAUUGAUCCAAUACUCCUUCUUCUCCUCAGAAUCAGCAAUAAAAUACAUAGUAUCAGACCUAGUUGAAAGCUCAAAUGCAAAUUGUUUAUUCAGAACAUCCUCAGCUCCUUUCACUGUAAGGCAAUUAGCCACCGGAAUAACACCUCGCGGUUUCGAUCCUCUAUUGAGAUUCGCUUCCUUGAACCAAAACAGUUUCCCCUGUUUCAACACGAACCACCGGCGACGCCAGGUUUUUAUGUACUCGCCUUGUUUUGUGAGCCAGCCGGCUCGUUCGGGGUUAACCCAGAAUUCUACUCCGUCGUAGUCGUCGGUCGAUGGAGUUGUGUUAUCGCCCAUCACUGCUCGCCAUAGACUGGCCAUGGGUGAUGCGAUUGAAGGAGAGAGAGAAAAAUG
rnacentral:misc_RNA from 1 species